rnacentral:rRNA from 1 species
AGAGUUUGAUCCUGGCUCAGGAUGAACGCUAGCGGCAGGCUUAAUACAUGCAAGUCGUGGGGCAGCAGGGGUGUAGCAAUACACUCGCUGGCGACCGGCAAACGGGUGCGGAACACGUACGCAACUUACCCUUAACUGGGGGAUAGCCCACCGAAAGGUGGAUUAAUACCCCGUAAUAUAAUGAGGUGGCAUCACUUUAUUAUUAUAGCUCCGGCGGUUAAGGAUGGGCGUGCGGCUGAUUAGGUAGUUGGCGGGGUAACGGCCCACCAAGCCUACGAUCAGUAACUGGUGUGAGAGCACGACCAGUCACACGGGCACUGAGACACGGGCCCGACUCCUACGGGAGGCAGCAGUAAGGAAUAUUGGUCAAUGGACGCAAGUCUGAACCAGCCAUGCCGCGUGAAGGAUGAAGGUCCUCUGGAUUGUAAACUUCUUUUAUAUGGGACGAAACCCCCGAAUUCUUUCGGGACUGACGGUACCAUAGGAAUAAGCACCGGCUAACUCCGUGCCAGCAGCCGCGGUAAUACGGAGGGUGCAAGCGUUAUCCGGAUUCACUGGGUUUAAAGGGUGCGUAGGAGGGCAGGUAAGUCAGUGGUGAAAUCCCCGAGCUUAACUUGGGAACUGCCGUUGAUACUAUCUGUCUUGAAUAUCGUUGAGGUGAGCGGAAUAUGUCAUGUAGCGGUGAAAUGCUUAGAUAUGACAUAGAACACCAAUUGCGAAGGCAGCUCGCUAAACGAAUAUUGACUCUGAGGCACGAAAGCGUGGGGAUCAAACAGGAUUAGAUACCCUAGUAGUCC